AAACAUUCAAAUAAAAAUAAAUAAAUAAAAGUUUAACCAGUUUUUUCAAAAACAUCAUUGGAUUUUGGAUGUAGUUCAGGUGGGGAGUUUAUAGAAACAUGGCAACCCUCCCUGCCUACUUUGGGUCACUGCCAUUUUAAAGGUACAUUAUACAAGAUCAGAAACUUUGGUCAGAAGAAGCCUCAAAGUUGUUUUUUUUUAAACUUUAUAUUUCUGGACAUUCUGUGGUACUUUAUUUUCUGUGUUAUUUUUAUUUCCUUUUCAUGGAGCAGUUUUUUUGAGCACAGAGAAUGAUCUUGAUGUGCAGGUGAAAGUUCAGACUGAGAUGGAGGGUUGGGGCUCUGUGGGAUUUCUAUAAAUGACUGAGACGAGAUUCAGUCACAUAAUACACUCGUGUUGAGGUCAUGACUUACAUCAGUAUUAUUUAUUCACUAUAUUCCAGGUUCUAUGUGUUAGGAACAAAGAGAAAAAACUGGACUUUUACAUUAAAGUAAAAACUUUGUCCUGUUUUUUUCAGUCACCAUCACACACUCAGUCUGAAGCGUUCUGUCUCUUACACUAAUAUUAUUUAUUUAUAGGAUUUAUCAGUUAUUAAUCUAAUAUGAAGCCACAAUAAUAAGCCAAGUGUUUAAGGGGAUUAAAUUAGAAAUGUGACAAGAAAAGUGUGAAAUAUUCUAAUAAAUGUAAGUGAACAGAAUUCAGUAAACAGAACAGUGCAGUUAAUGUCAAAGUUUAGACAAUAAACAGGAAAAAAAACUGUUCAGUGUUUCUUCAUCAUCUGAAUCUGAAUCUCUCUACAGGAUGGAAACACACAUCAUCACAGUGUUCAGUACAACACAACGUCCGAAAGUGUGAUGUACACAACAGUCAACACACAAACACAGGGUUAAUGACCAACACAAGAUGGUCUGCUCUGAUCGUAACAUGGAUUUCAUUCAUUCAUUCAUUCACUCAUUUUCUACCGCUUAUCCAAACUACCUCGGGUCAUGGGGAGCCUGUGCCCAGGCUCCCCAUGAAUCUCAGGCUUCAUCGGGCAUCAAGGCAGGAUACACCCUGGACAGAGUGCCAACCAUCAUGGAUUUCAGAUCAUCUUAAACUUCAUCCCUGAGCCACUGAGCUGAUGUUCAUCUCUGCAGCUUCAUCACCAUGUCAGGAUCUUCUGAUUUACUGCAGAACUCUCAGAUAGCACAUCAUGGGCCAUCAGUUACUCUUCUAUCUAACCUGACUUGGUCUUGGUCAUGUGAUGUUACACUAAAUAAUGAACUGUGAACAGCUUUAAUUUUUACAUUUAUAUUUUUAUUUGUUGUUUUAUUUUGAUGUGGUUUGUUUGCAGCAGUGGACACAGUAUGUACAAUGGCUGAAGUCAUGUGCAGGAACUUUGUAGUUGAGGAGGAACCUGGGUUCAGCUCCUCUCAGUAAUAUAAAUUAAUAUCAUGCACUGUUACUGAAGUUUUAUUACAGGGGUGUUUUUUUUUUUACUAAAUCUUUACUUUUUUAAAAUAUAAUAAGAAGAAAUAAUAGUAUGCGUGCAUGAGUGUGUGCAAGUGUGUGUGUGUGAGAGAGAGUGUGUACUGCAUAGGAGAUAGGUGCUAGUGGCUAACAGAUUUAGAAGAUGAAGCCUUUAUUUUUGUCACAUCUCCAUUACUUUUUACUUCUUUGAGUACUGGAACUGAUGCUGUUUUUGCCUGCAUGCAUAUUUUACAGUGAAAAACGUAUUUAAGAAAUACUUGAUGGGAGUAAAAUGGUACAUGUCUUAUGGUUUUUUAAUAUAUUGAUUAUAUGAAGCCCCAUUAAAUGUAGAAUUUAUAUGUAAAUAUUUACAGUAAACAAUAUUUAUUAUUUUAUCAAUAAGAAAUAUUCUUCAUUCUUCACUGACAGUAUUGUCUGAUUUUUUUUGGGAAUGUAAUGAUAUCUAAAGUCAUAGUAACGAUGUCUAAACAUCCUCGUGCUCUUCCUAGAACAGUCGUGUGAAGACGAGUGAAGAUGAUUUUCAGACUUCACAGCACAUUGGUUUGGAUUACUGUUGUUUGGAUCCGAGAUGAAGUUUCAUCUACAAAUGAAAUGCUGUCCUCUGGUGUUUUCAGGAAGGCGGUUUCCGGAGUUAAUAGGAGGACACCUCCGAUUGGUUAUAAUCUCCAUCUGUUCCAGAUAAAAGGCCUGUCUGGAUCCCUGAUUGUGACCUCUUUGCCUCUUGUGCAAUUGUGUUUGCUUUGUGUUCAUUGCAUUGUCUAUUUGUAUGCUAUAUUCUCUGAAUGUUAACCCUUUUCAGUCAUUUUUGAUUGUCCCAUCUUAGAGAGAAAGUUUGUAUUCCGAGUGUGUUGAGCUUGUGAGUUUUGUUUUGGUUUAUAUUUAUUAUUUCAACUGGUUGUGCUUGACCCAUGUCUGAUAUAGACUACGAUUACAGACUCUGUUUUGACUUGUUAGCCAGCCAAUUUCAUUAUACACCUUUUCCCAAAACAUGGUGACAAGGUAUUUUGGAAACUUUUAUUAUAUUGUUUUUGUUAGAGGGAGUUAGGUAAGAAGAAAUGUAUUUUUUUUUUCAUUUUUCAGUUUAGUAAGAGAGAGAGACAGGUGUUUGGAAGAUUGUUCUAUUUAUUAUUUUGGCCUUGUCCUCCUCUGAAGCCUAAAAUCCUUGUCCACCCUUAAAUAAAAGAUUGUGAAUUAUAA